rnacentral:SRP_RNA from 1 species
CCGUGCUCAGGCGGGGAGGUGGCGGUUCCCUGCACCCGAAAUCCGCCAGACGCGGGGCUGACAUCCCCUUCGAGGGUUUACGCGGCCCCUGCGGGGCGCCCUCCCGGCGAUGAAGGUCCGGUCCUGCGCGGCGGACCCCGGUGAACCCCGCCAGGCCCGGAAGGGAGCAACGGUAAGCCGUCCCGGUUCGCGCGCCGCAGGGGUGCCGGGCCGGAGCCGAACGAGGGCUUCUCUAGGGGGAGAGGCGGGCUCGACAAGGGGCGCACGG